GCAGUGCUGUUUUUUUCGUUCUUUGUGAAACCGGGUCGGUGGUGAGAUCGGGAUGGGGAGUGGGUUCUCGCCCCCUUGGACGGGGAGCCGGAGACGGAUUAUUCUCUGCGGGGCAACACCAACAAUUUUCCUUCGUUAGACCUGCGGUGAGAAGUUUAUUUGAAGAAAAACCCCAACUGGAAGCAAACCACAGCUGAAGACGAGAGAACAGCAACAAGUGAAUUGGCCCGAGGACUGAGAACAGCAACUGGAGAGAACAACUCUGCAUCAAGAGACUCGGAUUUCCCAGUGAUUCAGUCAGGAGAAAGUUUGGGCCAUGCGUUAAGAAUUCUGCCGGCGCUGAAGCGCCGAUGAAAUGCGCAGGCGUCAGGCUGAGGACGUCCCCGAGUAUCACACAUGCGCGCAGUACACAGAAGGCCUUGAAAAUGUCGGCUACAGGUUAAAAACGAGAAGGAAUUUGUCGCCGGGAAUCUCAAACACAACACGCUAGUUUUGCUGUCUCUGUCUGGAUAUUUAAGAAGUGGAGCAAGGGAUUCACUCAAUCAUCCUUCCUGCUCAGACUGUGGGGAGGGAUUCAGUCGAUCAUCC